GGAGGAAGCACUCAGGAAGGCAGCAGGAGUGCCCCCGGCUCACUGGCCCCAGAUUACUUUGGGAGAAAGAAGCUCAGGAGAAAGGAAUUGAUCAAAUAGAAUAGGAAAAGACAGGAAGAUCCCAUCUCUUGUGGAAGAACCGCACUGGAGAGAGGAAUCCAAGAAAUAGUCCUUCUGUGUGCAACUCCAAGGACAUUAAUUCACUUUCUGACAUGGAUGUGACUGUGCAGUUUUCAAUAAGGCAGGACCACAGUAUUGUACUGACUGAGGUUCACUGUAAGACUUUUUCCAAAGGCUGAGUAGCUCGGCACUCAACUCUCACUUACAUAUUUAUGUUGUUCCUUCUUUCCAGACAAGUUACCUUUUGAGUGCUAUUAAAUAUUUACAUGCUGUCAGGAGUAACAAGAUGGAAUAGGAACUGACAUUAUCAAAAAUAGUAAAGACACACUUAAUCUUACUUCUCUAGUUUUAUGAGGAAAAAAGACACUGUCUGCUAAAUAAUUUUGGUAGUUUUUCCAUGGCCAAGAACUUUGCAGAAAGCACUGGAGUUCAGGAUAAUUGUAUCUUCCAAGGAGCAAGACAAUUUCAGAUAUAAAUAUAUAUAUUGCAGCUGAAGAAAGUAAGUCUACUAUCUGAAAACUGACCUCACAUAAUUUAUGCUUCCAUUGCUGUAUAAUUUUAGCCUCAUGUUAAAACUACAAAACUUUAACUACUUUUUUUAUAUCAGUGUGAUCUAGUUCAUUAUUUGAAUGCAUAUCAAAGCAAAAAUACUACUUUGUCUGCAUUUAGCAGA